rnacentral:lncRNA from 1 species
UCUAUUGAAUUUAUUAAGAAGUUUCUUUACAGCCAAUUCUUAUUCUUUAUUCUGCGUUUGGUUCGGGUAUAAGUAAGAACUACUAGUUAUAGGGAUAGGUACAAGUUCAGGUAUAAGCAGGAACUAGACCAAUUUUACGUUUGGAUGAAAAUUGGGUUGUUCCUAGGAAUAAGGUAAAUAGUAUUUGGAUGGUUAGAUUGGAACAAGAGGAAUAAGAGUUAUAAUUUGAAAUUAAAAUUAUAUUAUGUAAUUAAUUAACAUCAAAAUAUUACUUAAAAAUAAAUAAUAAAUUAAUUAUUAAUAAUUAAUUAUAAAUAAUAAAUUAAUAAUAUUGAAUAUCUAAUUAAUAAUAAUAAAAAUUGAUAAUUAUUAAUAAAAUAAUAAUAAUAAUAAUUAAUUAUUAUUAUUAAUUAAUUAUUAAUAAUAAAUUAAUAAUAAUAUCGAUUUUCUAAUUUUUAUUAAUAAUAAUAUCGAUUAUCUAAUUAUUAAUAAUAAUUCUUAUUAAUAUUUAUUAAUAAAUAAUAAUUAUUAUUAUUAAUUAAUUACUAGUAAUAAUUAAUAAUUAUCCAAUUAUUAAUAAUUAAUUAUAAAUAAUAAAUAAUAAAUUAAUAAUAAUAUAGAUUAUCUAAUUAUUAAGGAUAAUAAUUAUUAAUAAAUAAUUAUUAAUUAUUAAUAAUUAAUUAUAAAUAGUAAAUUAAUAAUAAUAGCGAUUGUCUAAUUAAUAAUUAUUAAUAAUUAAUUAUAAAUAAUAAAUUAAUAAUAAUAUAGAUUAUCUAAUUAUUAAGGAUAAUAAUUAUUAAUAAAUAAUAAUAAAUAUUAUUAAUUAGUAAUAAUUAAUUAUAAAAAUAAUAAAUUAAUUAUAAUAAUUAUCUAAUUAUUAUUAAUUAAUUAUAAUUAAUUAAUUAAUUAAUUAUUAAAGUAAUAAAUAAUAAUUUAAAUAUAUUAAUUAGAUUAAUUAAUAAUUUACUGCAAUUAAAAUUAAAUUUAGAUUUUAAUUAAUUUUGUUCUCAUCAAGAAACAAUCUUGUUCCAGGAAAAAGGUGAAACAACAGUUCCAGCCUCAUACCAGUUUGUUCUUGAAACUCUGGAACUGCUGUUCUCGGGUACCAAACAUCACGUUUGGGAACAAA